CUACGGGUCGCUGCAGUGAGGAAUUUUGCGCAAUGGGGGGAACCCUGACGCAGCAACGCCGUGUGAGUGAAGAAGGCCUUUGGGUCGUAAAGCUCUGUCAACUGGGAAGAAGUUGCUAUGCUUAAAUAGAGUGUAGUAUUGACGGUACCAGUGGAGGAAGCGUCGGCUAACUCCGUGCCAGCAGCCGCGGUAACACGGGGGACGCAAGCGUUAUUCGGAAUUAUUGGGCGUAAAGGGCGCGUAGGCGGUCUUGUCGGUCAGGUGUGAAAGCCCGGGGCUCAACCCCGGACGUGCACUUGAAACAGCAAGACUUGAGUACGGGAGAGGAAAGCGGAAUUCCUGGUGUAGAGGUGAAAGUCGUAGAUAUCAGGAGGAACACCGAUGGCGAAGGCAGCUUUCUGGACCGAAACUGACGCUGAGGCGCGAAGGCGUGGGUAGCGAACGGGAUUAGAUACCCGAGUAGUC
rnacentral:rRNA from 1 species